UACGAAGGGGCUAGCGUUGCUCGGAAUCACUGGGCGUAAAGGGUGCGUAGGCGGGUCUUUAAGUCAGGGUGAAAUCCUGGAGCUCAACUCCAGAACUGCCUUCGAUACUGAAGAUCUUGAGUUCGGGAGAGGUGAGUGGAACUGCGAGUGUAGAGGUGAAAUUCGUAGAUAUUCGCAAGAACACCAGUGGCGAAGGCGGCUCACUGGCCCGAUACUGACGCUGAGGCACGGAAAGCGUGGGGAGCAAACAGG
rnacentral:rRNA from 1 species